AUGGCGGGUCUCUUAAAUUUCAAUGUCUUAUAUAAUUCUGAAAGACCCACCAGGACAUGGGGAGAAUUGUCUCAUUUGACCAACAACAAUCAACUUCAUUGCCAAAAGAUCCCUAAGCCUGGAGAACAAUUUCACUCUAUGGAGGUCCCUUUCUAUUGGCCUCAAGGCCAAAUACCACCAUUUUAGUUCUCUGCUAUUUAUAUUCAUAAAACGCAGAAGAGACUGUUUUGGAAAAGGAGGCUUAGAAAAGAAUUUAUUUUCUUUUUUGUGUGUGUAUUAGUCAACAGGCAUAGCUGAGCAUGACUAUGUGUAGUGUGAUUAUAUUUUAUAUGAUAAACUUCUCUCCACCUCCCAUUGCUUCCCUCUCUCUUUUUUCCACAUUAGGGUUUAUUUUCAAGUGUCGUGUGUCCAGGUGUUGUAAUGACCAAUAUGACAUAUGAAAUGAUGUCCCCUCUUUUCUGGAAGCUGCUUUUCCCUUUCUUAUGGCUGCUACGCCUGUGCACCCCUACAUACACUCUGAUACCGUACAACGGAGCAGAAGCACAGAUUUGGUUGUUUAAGCAGAAGCCAGAGUUGCUGGAUCCCCUGGCGAAAUAUUACAGUUGUACUACUGUUUUUGGGAAGAAUUACAGUGAGAGCCGCAAGGUAAGUCAAUUCUUUUGAUGAAAUGAUACCGUAAGCACUGUUUCUGUAGGUAUAGAGUGCUGUGCAAUACAUUUAUGGAUAGUUCUACAACCAGGCAGUGUAAAUUAGGGUUCCCACUGAGGAUUGCCAGAAAGUCCUUUCCAGUACAUCUUAUAAACAGUCACAUAGUUAAUGAAUGUAGAAUUUUAGAAAUUGGAGAGAUAUUUUUGUGUAAGCCAUACUCAUUGCAAUAAACCCCAUCCAUCCCAGUCUUUAAUCCCCCUAAUUUUCUUGUGUUAGAGCCUAGGCACAUACAGAUAGUCCUAGAGUUAUGAUAGGUCACUUAGGAACAGUUCAAAGUCACGACAGAUACCCCAAAAAGUACUUAGGACCCAGUCCUGAAAUUGUGUACGUUGCAGCAUCUCUGCGGUCAUUUGCCCUUACAACUGAAGCGGCGCUGACCACAGAGACGCUGCAACAUAUCUCCCCCCCCUCUGCCUAUUUCCCCCCAUCCUGACGCAGAUCUCCAUAGGCACCGAGCCUGAAAGUUAUGUACACUCCUGCCUGCCUGCCCGCCUCCAUCACUGAUUGCUCACUUACCUUUCCAGAGCUCAGGUUGUUGGGGUAGGAAAAGAGGACACACCACUCCAUUACGGAGCCAAGUGAUAGAAAAGCAGUCUUUCUGAGAUUCUGGUUUUAUUAGUAAAACUAUUCUCUUGCUAUAUGCUGCCUCUCUCUCUUCCUGCACACAACCAUACAUUGCCUCUUUCUCCCAGCAAAUGCAACCUCUUCCCUUGCUACCAUUCUCCCUUUUCUCCCUGCAAAUGCAUUCAGCCCACCCUGCCU